GAAUUUGCAGCUACCUGUAAAGUUCCGUGAUACUGUGAGGCUAGAAUUCGUGCUGUGGGUGGAAUGUGUGGUGUAGCGUGAAUGCUAGAAGAUCACCACAGAAUAUCGAUGCGAAGCAGCUCACAAAGCCAAGAUUGACGCUGAGUCACGAAAGUGUGGGGAUCAAACAGGAUUAGAUACCUGGUAGUCCACACUGUAAACGAUGAUAACUCGCUGUCGGCGAUAUACAGUCGGUGACCAAGCGAAAGCGAUAAGUUAUCCACUGGGGAGUACGACCGCAAGGUUGAAACUCAAAGGAAUUGACGGGGGCCCGCACAAGCGGAGGAACAUGUGGUUUAAUUCGAUGAUACGCGAGGAACCUUACCCGGGCUCGAACGGUGCAGGAAUAUGGUAGAGAUAUCAUAGCUAGCAAUAGUCUGUAUCGAGGUGCUGCAUGGUUGUCGUCAGCUCGUGCCGUGAGGUGUCGGCUUAAGUGCCAUAACGAGCGCAACCCUUGUCAUUAGUUACCAUCAGGUCAAGCUGGGGACUCUAAUGAGACUGCCACCGUAAGGUGAGAGGAAGGGGGGGAUGACGUCAAAUCAGCACGGCCCUUAUGUCCGGGGCGACACACGUGUUACAAUGGGGGGUACAGAGGGCAGCCAUCCGGCGACGGAGGCGCCAAUCUCAAAAACCCUUCUCAGUUCGGAUUGGAGUCUGCAACCCGACUCCAUGAAAUUGGGUUUCGCUAGUAAUCGCGCAUCAGCCAUGGCGCGGUGAAUACGUUCCCGGGCCUUGUACACACCGCCCGUCAAGCCAUGGAAGCUUGGGGUGCCUGAAGUUCGUGACCGCAAGGAGCGACCUAG
rnacentral:rRNA from 1 species